rnacentral:rRNA from 1 species
GACGGAAGGUGCAAGCGUUGCUCGGAAUCACUGGGCGUAAAGGGUGCGUAGGCGGCCUGGUAAGUCUGGCGUGAAAGCCCAGGGCUCAACCCUGGAACUGCCUUCGAUACUGGCGAUCUUCGAGUCCGGGAGAGGUGAGUGGAACUCCGAGUGUAGAGGUGAAAUUCGUAGAUAUUCGGAAGAACACCAGUGGCGAAGGCGGCUCACUGGCCCGGUACUGACGCUGAGGUGCGAAAGCGUGGGGAGCAAACAGG